GUGAUCAAACUCGAUUUCUGAAAGGCCUUCGACUCUAUUUGCUGGACAUCGCUUCUGCGCACUUUAAAGAUUAGGGGCUUCCCCGAUCGUUGCUGUGAUUGGAUCGAAGCGCUCCUUGCCACUGGCUCCACUGGCGUUAUGCUUAACGGAGUUCCUGGUAGAUGGAUCCAGUGCAAGAAUGGUAUUCGCCAAUGUGACCCGCUUUCCCCUACCUCUUUAUCAUCAUUGCAGACAUCCUGCGGCAAAUGA
rnacentral:rRNA from 1 species